CGUAGGUGAACCUGCGGAAGGAUCAUUCAUAAUAAGUGUUUUAUGGCACUUUUUUAAAUCCAUAUCCACCUUGUGUGCAAUGUCAGGGUUGAUCUUUCUCUCGAGAGGAUCAACCCCAAACAUCAACUAUAUCCCAACUCUUUGUCUGAAAAAUAUUAUGAAUAAAACAAUUCAAAAUACAACUUUCAACAACGGAUCUCUUGGCUCUC
rnacentral:misc_RNA from 1 species